GUGAAUCAUCGAAUCUUUGAACGCAAAUUGCACUCUCUGCGGUGAGUAUGCCUGUUUGAGGGUCAGUGUUAAUAAAAAUCGGAAGGUUGCUUCGUUGUUACGCGCCGGAGUUUGGGUCAUCUUAAGAUCCUUUAGGUUUUAAGAGGCUUAAAAUGGACUUUUGUUGCGGAUUUGAGAUGUACAUAAGUUCUUUUUUUUAUUCGUCUGGCUU
rnacentral:misc_RNA from 1 species